rnacentral:antisense_RNA from 1 species
AAGGUUCUGACGCCCGAGCCCAGCGCGGGCUUGGGCCUCCGCUGUCGGGCCAGGCUGGUCGCUCCGGGGCUGGGAGUUACGGCACCGGGGUUGGGGCGGAGAAGGCGAACUGGUUCAACUCGACCCAGUUAAGCAAGCGCAGCAGUGUGUGUUCUUGGAUCAUAGUAUUUCAUGUAAACAUUUUGAUUUAAGAGAAACAAAAGGGAAAAUAUUAACCGUUUUCAAGCAUCCAAAGGCGAAAUGCUUCAUCUCUGGGAUGGAGUAAAGGAGUAGCCUCUGAGGUUGAGUUGCAGUCGUGGGUGCAAGAAGCAGCGCUGAAGCGGAGUGCAGCGCCGGAAUAGGGCGGGAUGGAAUGGCGUGGGCAGUUCAGAAACCCGCGAGGAGUCCAGGGCGGAACAGAAGAAGACACGUAGAUAAAUGAGCACAGAGGGAAGAAGGUCAUUUGGAGAUAGAAGCAGGGAUUGGAGUGAUGCAACUGGAAGCCAAGAAACGCCGCAGAAUGCCAGGAGCCAGCAGAAGCUAAGAAAAGGCAAGGAUUAUUCCAAAGUGCCUUCCGAAGAAGCUUGGCCCUGCCAAAAACCUGAUUUCAGACUUCUAGCCCCCAAAACUGCAAGAGAAUAAAUUUUGUUGUUUUAG